rnacentral:rRNA from 2 species
UCGCCUGUUUUAUCAAAAACAUAGCUCCCUGAUAAAUAAAUUAGGAGUAAUGCCUGCCCAGUGAUAAAAUUAAACGGCCGCGGUAUCUUGACCGUGCAAAGGUAGCAUAAUCAUUUGUUCUUUAAUUGAGGACUAGUAUGAAAGGCAAAACGAAAGCUUAACUGUCUCCUUUUUAAGAAAAGAAAUUUGUAUUUUUGUGAAGAAACAAAAAUAAAAACGCAAGACGAGAAGACCCUGUCGAGCUUAAGAAAAUUUUUAUAAGAAUUUAAAAAUAGUUAAAAAUACUAAAAACUAAAAUAAAAAUAUCUUUGGUUGGGGCAACCACGAAGAAAAAAAAACCUUCGUUCUAAAAAAGAAAUUUACAAAUUAAAUAUUUUUUUAAAAACUAUAAGAUCCAGUACAUUCUGAUCAAAGAAAAAAGUUACCGCAGGGAUAACAGCGUUAUUCUCUUUAAGAGUUCAUAUUGACAAGAGAGUUUGCGACCUCGAUGUUGGACCGGGACACCCAAGAGGUGCAACAGCCUCUAAAGGUAGGUCUGUUCGACCUAUAAAGUCCUACGUGAUCUGAGUUCAGACCGGA